CGACGUUUUUUACAUCUUUUGCCGACGCUUAUAAGCGUCGGUAAAGACCCACCCCACGCUAUGCAAAGCGUCGCCGAAGCGUUGCCUAUACCUAAGUGGGAAAAAUUUGUCCCGAUGCUUUUGAAAAGUGUCGUAAAAGGUUGAUUUUUGACGACGCUGUUUAGCGACGCUUUUAGGCGUUGCUAAAAGUACCAAAGCCAACGCUUAAAAGCGUCGGCGUUAGCCUUAAAUUUUUUUAAAAAAUUAUUUUUCCAUAAAGAAUCAGAACAUACUCGGCAAUGGACUGGGAGAAGAAGUCGCCGGCGGGGGCCUACGGGAAGAGGAGCCGGCGGGGGCUUCGCCCAAGAGGCCAAGAACAGCUACUUCCACCUGCCGGCGCGAGAAGCGUUCUUCGCCGAUUCGCCCUCGCGAGUUGUGCCCCAGCCCCGAUGGGAGAUGUCCUGCGGCUCCCCUUCUUUCUCUGGAGAGGACCCAACUCCCUCUCCUCUCUCACGAUCUCCUUCUCCAGCUACCACCGAGCCACUU
rnacentral:lncRNA from 1 species